GCUACGGGAGGCAGCAGUGAGGAAUAUUGGUCAAUGGGCGCGAGCCUGAACCAGCCAAGUAGCGUGAAGGAUGACUGCCCUACGGGUUGUAAACUUCUUGUAUAAAGGAAUAAAGUGAGGCACGUGUGCCUUUUUGUAUGUACGUUAUGAAUAAGGAUCGGCUAACUCCGUGCCAGCAGCUGCGGUAAUACGGAGGAGCCGAGCGUUAUCCGGAUUUAUGGGGUUUACAGGGAGCGUAGAUGGGUUUUUAAGUCAGUUGUGAAAGUUUGCGUCUCAACCGUAAAAUUGCAAUUGCUACUGGCAUUCUUGAGUACAGUUGAGGUAGGCGGAAUUCUUGGUGUAGCGGUGAAAUGCUUAGAUAUCACG
rnacentral:rRNA from 1 species